rnacentral:tRNA from 1 species
GCAGCGGUAGUUCAGUUGGUUAGAAUACCGGCCUCUCACGCCGGGGGUCGCGGGUUCGAGCCCCGUCCGCUGC